rnacentral:tRNA from 1 species
UUUUAUUUAAUCCUUUAAACAC